GCGGGGGUUCCCGAGGGGCCAAAGGGGGCAGGUUCAGGACCUGCUGGAUCAGUCCUCCGUGGGUUCGAAUCCCACCCCCCGCACCA
rnacentral:tRNA from 1 species